rnacentral:tRNA from 1 species
UGGGGGCGUGGCGGAAUGGUAGACGCUACGGACUUAAAAUCCGUUGACCGCAAGGUCGUAAGGGUUCAAGUCCCUUCGCCCCCAU